ACAUUAAUUUUAGCUCCGCAUAACUCGCGUCCGUUCAUUCCUGAAUUACAAGAAAACAAAUUAAUAAUCACAUGAAGAAUUUUUAAGAUGAAACUCACCUUUACAAAACCAGUGCGACGGUCCAAGUUUAAAUGUAAAUUUUUAAUUUCACCAAACUCUUCAAAAGAAGAAAAAACGUCAUCUUCAACACAUUCUUCAUGUACUCCAGUUGCAAUAACAAUCCAACCUUCAAUGGCUGAUAAAGGAAUCACAAAUAACUAAUUUCUUCAGAAUAUGUAUAUAUCCCUCACAUUUCACCGGUCGACUCGGAUCCGAUAGCGCUGUUGAAGUAUCAUCAUUUUCUUUGUCUUCUAAAGCUUCAAAUACACCCGCAUCACCAUGAUAUCGAUUAUCAUGUGACGGGCUUCGACUCCUACUACGACCGUUUUCCAUUCGUAUAUCUUCCGAUUCAUUGUUAUUCUUUAAAUGCCUGUUUCGAAGGUCCCAACAAACAGAAAAUGAGGUUUCUACAGUGGAUGAUGCGUAUGUUAUAAAUGUCACUUUUUAGAAACACAGGUGUAGUGUACAACAUAAUUCACUAAUAAUUCCAAUAACAGAUUCUUUCAGUGCUAAGGACAUUGUUUUUUUUUUAUUGUUGUAAAUUUUUAUAUUUAUUUAUUGUGUUCUACGCACAUUUUUAAUCUUCGUUAACAGGUGUUAAAAAAGGGUUUUUCUUAUUAUAUAAAGAAUUAAGAAAUUCUGUCGAAGAGCAUUCGUUGUAAAUAAGAUCCAUUUGAUGUGUUGCUGAAGAGGAAUUAAAUUGUGAUACAAUCCAUUUCAGUUCGCUAAUGUCCGUGAAAACCUCUCCAUAAUAAGUAAAUGCAGAGCUGGCAAAAGAUUCUAAAUUCAAAUCAAUGAAUUUUCUGGAUAACACUCCCGUCGUAUUUAAUGUUUUAAAAGUGCUUCGAAGAUUAUUCAAUAAACUUUCCGUGAAUGCAUCCGGUGUCAAAAUUGGAAUCGUUGUACGUUGUUCAAUAUCCGCUUGAAACAAAUUCGCUAAUUCUUUUUCAUCCAACUGUUUAUUUUGGUCUUUAUCCAUAAUUUGAAAAAUCCAAGUAUCAUCUACAGCCCAUUUUAAGAAGUCAUCAUCGAUUUCCUUCAAAUCUAGAAAGAUAUGCAAUAGUUUCCAUUUUUAGAAACUCUCUCUUACAAUAAGUUAAUUUCUUAAAGAUAUCAAAAACAAGCAAAGAUUCUGAAUGGACACUUUGAAUCUAAAUAGCAACAUAUCAUUUGUUUUUAACUAUAGGAAACUCGAACGAUUUCACAAUUUUUAAAUGUUGUAUAGAAUAACGCACAAGUGAUUCUGAAAACAAUUCAAUUUCCUUAUGAGAUCUUGCGCAUUGCAAAAUUAUUUUUUUAGCUUCGUCAAAGCUUGAUUAAAUAAUUCUUGGGUUACCUACAAAUAGUAAAAAAAAAAAGUUAUUUUUAAAAGAAAUUCAAUAAUUACGUCUUGGGACGCGUUGAUAAGUAAAUACUUAUUAACGCGGUAUAUGUCGAACUCUUUAAAUUCGACAAAAGAAUCUUGAUUGGCAUCAAGUAAAAAAAAUUCGCUUUUUAUAUAUCUAGAAAUUUUUAUGUUCCAUUCAAGUUAAUAAAAAAGUUUUUCGGCAAUUGUUACCUUU